GAUUUCUAUUCCAAGAGAAGAGAUUGUCUGGGAUCCAACUCUGCACAGAUGGGUUAACAAAACUGAGCCCAAGGCUGAGAACAAGUGUGUACCACCACCUCCACCGAUGGGGACAUAUGGAUAUCAGGGGAACACUGGCAGUGUCCCCAAAGGAGUGAAUCCUUACUCUAUGAAAGCAGCAGGUCUAUGGGGCAGCAGAUACCCUACAAUGUAUUACAAUGAUGGGACCAACUCAAAGCCUCCAAGCCAUGGG